UCGCACUCUGCAUACUAAGCUUCUUCAUAUUUUAUAUUGAAGAUGGCUAUGAGUUAGGGUUUGCGUAUAGAAAUGCUGUUAGAUCAGCAGCGGCCAGACAACCGUAAAGAUGGAUCCACAGAUGAUGCGCUUUUUUUGCUCACUGUCUACUAAAUUCAUCUUACAUUC